UACAGAGGGUGCGAGCGUUGUCCGGAAUCACUGGGCGUAAAGGGCGCGUAGGUGGUGGCUUAAGCGUGCGGUGAAAGCUCGGAGCUCAACUCCGAGUCGGCCGUGCGAACUGGGCUCACUGGAGCAUAGUAGAGGCAGGUGGAAUUCCGGGUGUAGCGGUGGAAUGCGUAGAGAUCCGGAAGAACGCCGGUGGCGAAGGCGGCCUGCUGGGCUAUGGGCUGACACUGAGGCGCGACAGCGUGGGGAGCAAACAGG
rnacentral:rRNA from 1 species